UACGAAGGGGGCUAGCGUUGCUCGGAAUCACUGGGCGUAAAGGGUGCGUAGGCGGGUCUUUAAGUCAGAGGGGAAAUGCCAAGGCUCAACCUUGGAACUGCCUUUGAUACUGGAGAUCUUGAGUCCGGGAGAGGUGAGUGGAAUUGCGAGUGUAGAGGUGAAAUUCGUAGAUAUUCGCAAGAACACCAGUGGCGAAGGCGGCUCACUGGCCCGGAACUGACGCUGAGACGCGAAAGCGUGGGGAGCAAACAGG
rnacentral:rRNA from 1 species